rnacentral:rRNA from 1 species
CCUACGGGCGGCAGCAGUGAGGAAUAUUGGUCAAUGGACGAGAGUCUGAACCAGCCAAGUAGCGUGAAGGAUGACUGCCCUAUGGGUUGUAAACUUCUUUUAUAAAGGAAUAAAACGAGGCACGUGUGGCUUUUUGUAUGUACUUUAUGAAUAAGGAUCGGCUAACUCCGUGCCAGCAGCCGCGGUAAUACGGAGGAUCCGAGCGUUAUCCGGAUUUAUUGGGUUUAAAGGGAGCGUAGAUGGGUUGUUAAGUCAGUUGUGAAAGUUUGCGGCUCAACCGUAAAAUUGCAAUUGAUACUGGCAGUCUUGAGUACAGUUGAGGUAGGCGGAAUUCGUGGUGUAGCGGUGAAAUGCUUAGAUAUCACGAAGAACCCCGAUUGCGAAGGCAGCUUACUAAACUGUGACUGACAUUGAUGCUCGAAAGUGUGGGUAUCAAACAGGAUUAGAUACCCCAGUAGUC